rnacentral:rRNA from 1 species
CGGGACGGGUGAGUAAUGUCUGGGAAACUGCCUGAUGGGAGGGGAUAACUACUGGAAACGGUAGCUAAUACCGCAUAACGUCGCAAGACCAAAGAGGGGGACCUUGGGCCUCUUGCCAUCGGAUGUGCCCAGAUGGGAUUAGCUAGUAGGUGGGGUAAAGGCUCACCUAGGCGACGAUCCCUAGCUGGUCUGAGAGGAUGACCAGCCACACUGGAACUGAGACACGGUCCAG